rnacentral:lncRNA from 1 species
GUUGCCCCGGCUCCUCUGGCGCCCAAACAAGGAGCUAGAGCGCGGGCGGCCGGCGCGGAGGCUGGACUGGCAGGUUGCUGGAGCUGCUCUGCGCCUGCCCUCCAACCGGGGCCCCGGCGCGAGAGGCAGCCCCGCUCUCCCUCCCGGAGCGCAGUAGACAGAUAUGCAAGAUGGCAGAGGAGGGGGAAAUCCAAUAGAAAAGGGAUAUUGCACCUACUUGUGGCCAGUUUCCUUGCCCUGCCUUUGGAUCUCAUGCUGUGCCCAGUCCUGCAGCCGCUGGUGUGUGGUUGGGGUUUUUUUUUCUUGGAUCUUUUCCUUCUUUUGCUCUCCCUCUCGCUCCCUCCCUCUCCUCUCUCUCUCUCUCCCUCCCCCUCUCUCUCUUACACACACACACACACACACACACUCUCUCUCUCUCUCUCUCUCUCUCUCUUUCUCUCUCUCUCUCUCACACACACUCACUCUCUGUCUUUCCCUCUUUCACUCUCUCUCCCUCCCUCUCUCCCUUUCUCUCAAUCCACACUCGCUAUCUCUCCAGCAUUGUCAGUUUGGACACCUUCGCACAUGCGCGCUAGACGCCCCUCCAACAUCUCAGCGCCGCCAAAAAAAGUCCGGGAACCUUGGGCAUUUGACAUCCAAGACCUUCUUUUUGCCUUCCCUGAGGUCGGCUGUCACCUUCCGGCCUCCCCCACCGCUGCCCCUGUCGCCUCCUGCUGCAGCUCAGCCUGUCUGCCAUUUCACUCAUUCGCUUAAACCCACGACCUCCCGGGUCAUAAGGAAGAGGAUUUACCAAAGAAGUGGGCAAGCAGAAAUGAGGACCUCUUAA